UACGGAGGAGGCAAGCGUUAUCCGGAAUUAUUGGGCGUAAAGCGUCCGCAGGUGGCACUUCAAGUCUGCCGUCAAAGACCGGGGCUUAACCCCAGAAAGGCGGUGGAAACUGAAGCGCUAGAGUGCGGUAGGGGUAGAGGGAAUUCCCGGUGUAGCGGUGAAAUGCGUAGAGAUCGGGAAGAACAUCGGUGGCGAAAGCGCUCUACUGGACCGCAACUGACACUGAGGGACGAAAGCUAGGGGAGCGAAUGGG
rnacentral:rRNA from 1 species